GUGUUGCUACUGUAACCUGUCGUCACAGCUCCACUCCGUCAUCUCCAUGGCAAUGCUUGCCGGAUAAAUCCAGGGCUUGGAUUCCGUCUUCAGCCCAGGUGCGCUAACAAGAAGGAAAAAAUGCUACUCAGGUUUCCCGUGUGCUUUGGAUCUCUUCAUUCAUGCCGUCUUGGGUGAAUGGCGAGAUACCGGGCAAGCAGUCAUGCCUCACCGCUUUAACUCAUACGUGUAUCCACAUCAGGACUUUCCCUGGCAGUCCCAUGUUGAAGACCCUGAGCUACCAAGUUAAAUCCUUGGUUGGGGAACUAAGAUCUGAUAUGUCAUGCUGCACGGUCAAAAACAAAACCAAAAAAAUUUUUAAAUAUAUGUACAUCCAUGUCUACACAUUUGGUUUCCAGAUGAGUGCUCUCCAG
rnacentral:lncRNA from 1 species